GAGUAUGGACUCUAGAGUAGCUGAGGGACUGACCAGACUGACUUCACAUCCUGGUGGGUCUAGGAGAUCCACAGUUGUUGUCCUAGAGUAUUUCUCAGCGACUUCCUGCCUUGGACAACCUACCUCAGGACCACUCAGAUCAUGAGCAAGAAGCAAAUGGCUGGCCUCAAACUCACUGCAGUCCAUCUCUCCAAUCCUCAAUGGGCUCCGGGACACAGCCAACCCAGUUUGAGUAUCAGCCCCCUUGUUGGAUGCAAUAGUGAGAGCCUGUGAUUCCAGCACCUAGGAGGAAGCAGAUGAAGG